rnacentral:lncRNA from 1 species
AAUGUGCGAAAAUAAACUUUGAGCACUAAAUACACAUGCAAAAUGUGAAAGCUAUUUUAAAUGGCUUUUCAGCACAUGCGAGAAGGAAACUUUGACCAUUUUACCCUUUAUUCUUCUUUCCUUGAUUUUUCUAUCCUUCUCCUUACUUUGGCAAUUUUCAAUGCUUUUCUUCAUCUCUUUUUAUGGAGCUUGGAUCGCGCAUAUCAUCUCCUCCCCCUUGAGAAGGAUUUGUCCUCCAAUCUGGUGGGUCGUCUGAUGGGUGUCGCACCCCAUGCAAAUUUAAUGUGCAUAAAAAAAUGUGGUAUAGACUAGGAAGUGACUCCUAGGUCAUCUCUCAAGGACCAACUUUCCCUUUUCUUCACAUUGAGCUUUUCUUUUCAUGCUUUUUCUUUUUCUAUCUUUUUCAUCUUUUCUCAUGCAUUUUCUUUUCAACUCAUAAGCUCAACGCUUAACUUUUCUUUUCUUUUUCAAUUCUCCCAACAACCGCAAACUUCAACCUUUAUCAAUACCGUGCAAUAAUUCUCAACUUAAUUCAAGGUAA